rnacentral:rRNA from 1 species
CUAAACGUGCAAGUCGAACGGUAGCACAGAGAGCUUGCUCUCGGGUGACGAGUGGCGGACGGGUGAGUAAUGUCUGGGAAACUGCCUGAUGGAGGGGGAUAACUACUGGAAACGGUAGCUAAUACCGCAUAACGUCGCAAGACCAAAGAGGGGGACCUUCGGGCCUCUUGCCAUCAGAUGUGCCCAGAUGGGAUUAGCUAGUAGGUGGGGUAACGGCUCACCUAGGCGACGAUCCCUAGCUGGUCUGAGAGGAUGACCAGCCACACUGGAACUGAGACACGGUCCAGACUCCUACGGGAGGCAGCAGUGGGGAAUAUUGCACAAUGGGCGCAAGCCUGAUGCAGCCAUGCCGCGUGUAUGAAGAAGGCCUUCGGGUUGUAAAGUACUUUCAGCGGGGAGGAAGGUGUUGUGGUUAAUAACCACAGCAAUUGACGUUACCCGCAGAAGAAGCACCGGCUAACUCCGUGCCAGCAGCCGCGGUAAUACGGAGGGUGCAAGCGUUAAUCGGAAUUACUGGGCGUAAAGCGCACGCAGGCGGUCUGUCAAGUCGGAUGUGAAAUCCCCGGGCUCAACCUGGGAACUGCAUUCGAAACUGGCAGGCUGGAGUCUUGUAGAGGGGGGUAGAAUUCCAGGUGUAGCGGUGAAAUGCGUAGAGAUCUGGAGGAAUACCGGUGGCGAAGGCGGCCCCCUGGACAAAGACUGACGCUCAGGUGCGAAAGCGUGGGGAGCAAACAGGAUUAGAUACCUUGUGUAGUCC